GUAUACGUAGUAUAAGUAAUAUGAAAGAUUUAGGUUCUUUAGAUGAGGUAGUAUACU
rnacentral:tRNA from 2 species